AGUGCCUGAGAGGUAGGAUAAAACCAGCCUACUAAAUCCUGAGGCUAGCUGCUGAAAUUAGGACAAAAGGAAACGAGCCGCAAGUUGCACCAGGGAAGCAAAGAUUUCUUCAUCAAAAGGACUGUCAAGCAUUGGAAUAGGCUGCUCAGGGAUGUGGUUGAGUCACCAUCUCCAGAGGACUUGUUACUGGCUGAGGCUGAAGUCAUUACCCUGCAAUGUAUUGAAGCCACACGUUGAGGAAGGCUGAGAAGAUGAGACGUGGUUUGUGUAAUCACUAGUAUCAGCUGUCUGAAUCAGGAAGCAGCACAACCAUCCCCUUUGCCCCAAAUUCCCAUAUUUCUGUCUAGUCAAUAAAGUCUAUCAUUACCAUGA